rnacentral:rRNA from 1 species
GACAGAGGGUGCAAACGUUGUUCGGAAUUACUGGGCGUAAAGCGUGUGUAGGCGGCUUUGCAAGUCGGAUGUGAAAGCCCCGGGCUCAACCCGGGAAGUGCACUCGAUACUGCAGAGCUUGAGUGUCGGAGAGGUUGGUGGAAUUCUCGGUGUAGAGGUGAAAUUCGUAGAUAUCGAGAGGAACACCGGCGGCGAAGGCGGCCAACUGGACGAACACUGACGCUGAGACGCGAAAGCGUGGGGAGCAAACAGG